rnacentral:rRNA from 1 species
GACGAACGCUGGCGGCGUGCUUAACACAUGCAAGUCGAACGGAAAGGCCUGCUUUCCCUUGUGGAUUGCGGGUACUCGAGUGGCGAACGGGUGAGUAACACGUGAGUGAUCUGCCCCCAACUUGGGUAUAAGCCUGGGAAACUGGGUCUAAUUCCCGAUAGGACUGCAGGGUGGUGCCUGUGGUGGAAAACGAUUUUCUAGUGGGUGGGGAUGAGCUCGCGGCCUAUCAGCUUGUUGGUGGGGUAAUGGCCUACCAAGGCGGCGACGGGUAGCCGGCCUGAGAGGGUGGACGGCCACAGUGGGACUGAGAUACGGCCCAGACUCCUACGGGAAGCAGCAGUGGUGAAUAAUGCACAAUGGGCGGAAGCCUGAAGCAGCGACGCCGCGUGGGGGAUGACGGCCUUCGGGUUGUAAACUCCUUGCGACCGCGAGGAAGCCACCUGGUUGGAAGGGUGGUGACGGUAGUGGUAGAAGAAGCACCGGCUAACUACGUG